UCUGAGUGUUGCCUCGUUGCCUUAAGUUCUCUACUGUCAUUUCUCCUGCAAGUUUUAUCAUCUAGUUUCUGUUAGAUAUAUAAAUAGUAGCAGAUAAUGAUCAUGACUCAGUUUAGGAGAUAUUUACUUUUCAUCAACCUUAUCUUUUCUUCUCCCAAAACAACCUGUCACUGCAUGGUUUCUGCUUACUUUUUUGUGCUUUCCAUUGUGAGUAAUAUGAUCAUUCCAUUACAUAUCUAUGAAUUCCGUGCUAUGAGUUCUUGUUGGAAGACUGGUCUCUGAUUGAUCUGCUGCUUCUAUCCUUAAUGAAUUCAUGAUUUGGGUAAUACAUCAAAGCUACAUACCAUACAACAUUCCACAAUUAUUGAAGUAAUCAAUAAAGCCUGGAGCAGAUUUAAUGUGUUCAGGAAGCAGGAAAGAAAUGUGUUCAAUCAGUUACUAUAUACCCUACAAUAGCGAUGCUUUUAAUGUGGAAUCUAAAACCUCUUCUUCUGAAAUUUCUUCAACUCUCUGGGGCUUUUUUCUUUUUCACUGUAAACCAUUUCAGAACAUUGAUGCUAUUCUACUCUCUAAUUUUAGGCGCCACAUGAUAUAUCUUCUAUCCAGGAUUUUCU